rnacentral:rRNA from 1 species
UACAGAGGAGCCAAGCGUUGUCCGGAUUGACUGGGCGUAAAGCGCACGCAGGCGGGGGCGCGCGUGGGGGGUGAAAUCUGGCCGCUUAACGGCCAGGCGCCAUCCCAUACGGCGCGUCUGGAGUGAUGCAGAGGUCGAUGGAAUUGCCGGUGUAGUGGUGAAAUGCGUAGAGAUCGGCAGGAACACCCAGGGGGAAACCAGUCGACUGGGCAUCUACUGACGCUGAGGUGCGAAAGCGUGGGGAGCAAACAGG